AAAAAAUAUGAUUCCAAGACUGGAAUGUCACUGGGAUUACAGUCUAAACGUUGGUGUUCCCUGAAGCGGACGCUAAACCUGCCGAGGGUCAGAUGUGACCGCAGAGUUGAUCGAUGCGUCUGCAGAGCUGAACGACUGGAUGCUGAUGAGGGAAAUCAGUGGUUUGAUUCAGGCGUGUUGGAGAAGGGAUGCAGGAGAGUAGCUCUCCAGGACUGGACUUGGGCUCCCCUGUUCUAUAUUAUUAUCCGAUGUUUUUUUCUUUUUCUUUUACAUUUUCCUGUAUAUAUGUUCAUUGCUACU